AUACGUAGGUGGCAAGCGUUAUCCGGAUUUACUGGGCGUAAAGGGCGUGUAGGCGGUCUUGCAAGACAGAAGUGAAAUUCCUGAGCUCAACUCGGGCGCUGCUUCUGAAACUGCAGGACUUGAGUGCUGGAGGGGAUAGCGGAAUUCCUAGUGGAGCGGUAAAAUGCGCAGAUAUUAGGAAGAACACCGGUGGCGAAGGCGGCUAUCUGGACAGUAACGGACGCUGAGGCGCGAAAGCGUGGGGAGCAAACAGGAUUAGAUACCCUGGUAGUCCACGCCAUAAACGAUGAAUACUAGGUGUAGGGGGUAUCGACCCCCUCUGUGCCGACGUUAACACAUUAAGUAUUCCACCUGGGGAGUACGGCCGCAAAGCUGAAACUCAAAUGAAUUGGCGGGG
rnacentral:rRNA from 1 species